GGUAAGUUGGGCCAGGCGAUGUUAAGGCCCAGGUUGAGCGAUGGUUGAACUAAGGAGCGGAAAGGGCAUAGAAGUGAGUACGAAUGCCCGAAUGGAGAAGAGGAUCACUCUGGUUCAGACCAUUGCUACCGCUGCCGUUUUCUCUGCCAUUUCAUUCUGGUAUGGCUUCAUGUUCGGCAGAGAGUCCUCUCGCAAAGAACUCCAUCACCUAAUCCAAGAUCUCCGUCGCGGAAACCCUCCCGACUCCGACCAUUCUUGAACUCUCGCUUUCAAUUUAAUCUCUUUAACACUGUAUGUUUCUUUCUAACUCACCCUGUACCCUUUUCCCCUGCCAAUUUUCUAACUAGGGCUUCAUUCUACAACUUUACCUUGUCAUUUGUUGUAUGAAUUGUUUCAUGAAUAGCCACAAAAAGGUUUUCCCUCUAUGUUAAACUCUCGUUAUUUUUA